UACGAAGGGUGCAAGCGUUAUCCGGAUUCACUGGGUUUAAAGGGUGCGUAGGAGGGCAGGUAAGUCAGUGGUGAAAUCUUUGGGCUUAACCCGAAAACUGCCAUUGAUACUAUCUGUCUUGAAUCCCGUGGAGGUGAGCGGAAUAUGUCAUGUAGCGGUGAAAUGCUUAGAUAUGACAUAGAACACCAAUUGCGAAGGCAGCUCGCUACACGAAGAUUGACUCUGAGGCACGAAAGCGUGGGGAUCAAACAGG
rnacentral:rRNA from 1 species